UACGUAGGGACCAAGCGUUGUUCGGAUUUACUGGGCGUAAAGGGCGCGUAGGCGGCCACCGCAAGUCAGUUGUGAAAGCUCUGGGCUUAACCCAGAAAGGUCAACUGAUACUGCGGGGCUAGAGUGCAGAAGGGGCAACUGGAAUUCUCGGUGUAGCGGUGAAAUGCGUAGAUAUCGAGAGGAACACCUGCGGCGAAGGCGGGUUGCUGGGCUGACACUGACGCUGAAGUGCGAAAGCUAGGGGAGCGAACGGG
rnacentral:rRNA from 1 species